rnacentral:rRNA from 1 species
CGCUGGCGGCGCGCCUAACACAUGCAAGUCGAACGAGCGAGAGAGAGCUUGCUUUCUCGAGCGAGUGGCGAACGGGUGAGUAACGCGUGAGGAACCUGCCUCAAAGAGGGGGACAACAGUUGGAAACGACUGCUAAUACCGCAUAAGCCCACGACCCGGCAUCGGGUAGAGGGAAAAGGAGCAAUCCGCUUUGAGAUGGCCUCGCGUCCGAUUAGCUAGUUGGUGAGGUAACGGCCCACCAAGGCAACGAUCGGUAGCCGGACUGAGAGGUUGAACGGCCACAUUGGGACUGAGACACGGCCCAGACUCCUACGGGAGGCAGCAGUGGGGAAUAUUGCACAAUGGGGGAAACCCUGAUGCAGCGACGCCGCGUGGAGGAAGAAGGUCUUCGGAUUGUAAACUCCUGUUGUUGAGGAAGAUAAUGACGGUACUCAACAAGGAAGUGACGGCUAACUACGUG